UCUUAGUAGAAUUUCUCUUUUUCAAGCUUGGAUAUGUAUCCCAAAAAUGGUUACUGCAGGUAUGAGUAAAGAGAAUUGUGUGAAAAUAGAAAAGUUUUCAGAGUUCUGAAAUUUAAAGAAUUUCAAAGUUAAGUGUCAGUUGGAAAAGAUACAAAGAAUUAGGUGUGCCCAACUUUGGCUCCAGAUGUCAGAUCGUGGAUGUUAGCCCUCAUAUGUUAGGUGUGAGUCCAUCCUUAGAGAGUGUCUUUCUACCCUUUGUCCUUAAUUUAUAAAGGAGAGGUUCUCUAUAUGUCACUAGUGGAUUGUGACCAAUAGAGUAAGGUGGGCGUGUCUUCCCUACAGUAUAUCAUCUAGAUUUUGGUCAGUAGAUGGCACAAUUACAUCACAGAAAAUUCUUGUCAGGGAGUCCAUUUACCUUUUUGUAUAAUGGGUUAACUGAAUUUUGUGAUGCGUUUGACAUCACAAAGCCUAAUCUUUAUGAUGCCCGUCUAUCAAAGAGCUGUCACACUUCAAAGAGUUUUGGUUGUGUCUGCAAUUUUGGCUAUACAUUAGAUUUCUGACACGUCCUAAACUCUUCUUCACCUCUCUAUACAAUGAAACUUUGUAUCAGAUCCUUAAUAUUUAAAAAGUAAAAUUAAUUACUUAGUGUUAU